UACGGAGGGUGCAAGCGUUAUCCGGAUUCACUGGGUUUAAAGGGUGCGUAGGUGGGCAGGUAAGUCAGUGGUGAAAUCUCCGGGCUUAACCCGGAAACUGCCAUUGAUACUAUCUGUCUUGAAUACCGUGGAGGUGAGCGGAAUAUGUCAUGUAGCGGUGAAAUGCGUAGAGAUUGGGAAGAACAUCGGUGGCGAAGGCGCUCUGCUGGACCAUAACUGACACUCACAGGACGAAAGCUAGGGGAGCGAAUGGG
rnacentral:rRNA from 1 species